rnacentral:lncRNA from 1 species
UUUUUUUUUUGUUUUGGACUGUAUGACUACGUGUGAUGUUUAUUGCUAACACUACCAGAAACUGGCAGGUUCCUGUCGGUUCAGCUUUUUCCUGUCAGUUUUCUAAAAACCGACAGGGUUCCGGCUUAAAAACCGACAGGGUUCCGGCUUAAAAACCGACAGAAUGACCUGAAAUGCUCCUGUCGUUUUCAUCAAACCGUCGCAAACAAAAGGUACUGUCAGGAACCGGCCAAGAAAUCCUGUCAGUCGAUAGAAAACCGACAGGAAAAAUGUUCCUGUCGGUCUGCACGCCGGGAGCCCCGGUUUGCUCCGCGAGCGCGGAAACUUUUUUUCUCUGGCCGGGCAACGCGCGUUCUUAUCCCGCCCAAAAUUCGCUACUGACCUGUGGAACCUACUCACCACAUAUAAAACUCUCCAUCCGCAAACCCUAAUCCCCAUCAACUCUAUCCCUCCCCCACCACCCCAGCGUCUCAAGCCCGCCCGACCCCAUCGGCGCAGCGUCUGCCGACCCACGCUUCCACUCUCGCAUAGCCGCCUCCCGACUCCUACCUGGGCCACCGUGCAUCACGUGGCCCCAGCCUGCUGUCGCGCCUACGGUCGCCGCCUCGCCGGACAGCCGCGCCAUGCCGUCUCCACACCGGUGGCGUGCCCGCAGCAGCCGAACCGAGUCCUAGUGAAUGUCGCGGCAAGCGAGGACGAGGCAGCCACCUGCGUUGAGGAAGAGCAGACGCCGGUGUGAGAAUGCCGCCCCCCUGCAGAUUUGGCUCUCACCGUCGGGAGGCUCCGAAUCCAGCCAUGGCAGCGGUGGAUCUAGGCACGAGUGCCGCCAAAGAAAGGGAGAAGCCAGGGCAGAGCCCCACCGCGGCGCUUGUCCCCGAGGUAAUUCAGUUGCAACUUUGUAGAUAGUAAUACAUAUUUGGGAAUUUUGGUCCCCGAGGACAAAUUGUUGUUCCCCAAAUUUGCCUGUGUACAUCCUAUGGAAUUUCAGUAGUUCUGCAAUUUAGCAAUGUGCUUCAAUGGCUAUUGGAUCAACUGAGUAUAUCAAAUUAAAGCUAAUGAUACACGAGAGGUCCUGACUAACAAACAUUUUGAUGAACCUGGCCCCACACCUUAAUUAAGGACUGAUCCAAGCUCAAAGACGUGCUUCGGUUAUUUUCUUCCUAUGGUUUCCGAUGGUAAUGUUCCGGUUACUAUACUAUGGUAAUUCAACAUUAUUUUUUUGGAAAAGUUAUAGAUGUACUUGUAAAUUUUUUAUGUUUUGGACUGUAUGACUACAUGCGAAGUUUAUUGCUAAAUUCAGAUUCAAUUUAUGUUCACAGUAUAUCGAAGGAGAAAAAAUUUAGAAAAAAAAAAUACAACAUGUAUCAAUUUCAAUGACUAUUGCUUCCGUACAGGUAACUAUGUAAGGGUCAUCUAAGAAGACUAUGAAAGCCAUCUAGCUAAAAAAAAUUCAUGUGUUGCUUGGCUAGCUCACACGAUGUACACUCGCACUCCCGCCACCAGUCCACAAUUCAUGUGUCUGAACUGCUGAAAAAUUGAUUUCCAUGAUAGCCGUCCCUUCUGCAUAUAUCCGGCCACGAGCCUAUGUAAUUUUUUAUUUGGAGGGUCAGAAGCGUGAAAAUGGAGGAUAGAGGAAUUAUAAUAACAUAGAGGAAAACAAACCAGGUAAGAACAAAUGAGUUGAUCACUAUGUAUAGUUUAUGAGGAACUACUUAAUAGUUCUUCACUUCUGCAAUAAGCAUGUUAGUAUUAAACUAGAAUAUCGGAAUGAUUCUUUUAGAUUAUUAGUAACUUACCAACAAAACAUACAUAUAUAAAUAUGCUCAUCCCAAAACUAACUUACCAUGGCUAAUUAGCAUUAGUAUUUAAAUUAGAGUGUUAACAAUUGUACCUUGUAAACUCCUUUGUGCCUAGAAAUACCAAAUCUCGAACCGGACUGUUGGUAAGGUCAACCAUCUCCACAAGCCUGUAUAAUUAAGAGAGCACCAUCACUGAUAUCUUUUGUUUUCUAGAACGCAUUAAUAACAUAAAAGAAUCAUUCCGAUAUUCGUUUUGCUUUCAUGGGGUACACAUUUUCAGAUUCAGUUUUCAUAUUCUUUUGUACCAACAAUUAGUAUAGUCAUAUUAAGAUUUUGUUAUAUAAAAUUAACACAAUUGGAUAUUAAUCUGAAAGUAUCAUUACUUUGCUCAUAAAAGACCUGACAGCGGGCUUGGGAAGAGGUAUGCGGUUGAUGGCCACUUAUGUGCACAUAAUUAGAAGUAUCACUUACCUGUAGGUAGUGGCUUCCCACAAACAAACAGUUCCGUCACUUAACCUAGUAACCAAUAUUGGAAGCGUUGUGUGGCAAGCAACCUCUUGGAUGGUCUGGCCGCUUACGCCGAGACUACGAACGUGUUGGUUUGUCUGCAAAUCCCAUAUCUAUUGACGAAAGAAGAAAACGGAAGAGCAUUAUAUUAGACCAGUUCCUGUCCUGUAUGCAUACUACAAUUGAUAUUCCGUAUUCUUCUCUGCAAAGUCCUAAAUAAAUUGGUUUUCGCCAAGGAGAUGGACGCCAUACAUACAUAUGCACACUUGCUUCGAAUGCCCCAGGCAACUAGGAAGUGCUGAUGACUAUCAGCAAAAAAAUAGUCGAUGCUGUAUGGAUUCACCAUUGGCAAUGUGUUGACAGGAUCAGAAGAACCAAUGUACCUGACCUGCAAAAUUCAUGUUCGAAAGAAUUAACAUGUUACCUCAUAUAAGGUCCUAAGAGGCAGUUUGGAUCCAUCAUGUAACACAGGAUUUCUGAAUUGUUGAUUGCUUUGCAACCAUAUGCAAUAUAGUAAGGUAGAUCGUUUCUCCUACUGCAACAAUUUGUACAGCUGUAUAAGAUUAAAAAAAUGUUUUUUGCUAUGAAAGUAUGGCACAAAAGGUAAAAAAAUAUGAAUAGGGAUUAAAAAGUGCGUACAGUAAUUACUAAUUAAAGUCUAUCAAAACUGAAUACAAAUAAGUACAUAUUUGUAUAGGUAUUGUGUCAUUAGAACGCUUAACAAAUGACAGAGGGCACAAGGCAAAUAAUUUUUAUAAUUAGCUACGUAUCUUUUUUCAUAAAUUUUAAAUAUUUAUGCCUCUCAAAAUUAUUAGCCUGCGGUGAUGGACUAAUAAGAACCUAAUUAGUUGACACACGAUCUAGGAAAGGAAGAGGAAAACAAACAACCUUUGCAGUGUUAUCAUUGGCGACACUAGCAAACAUGUUGAGAUCCCUUGGGUUAAACGUGAAACUGUCCACGCCACUGCUGUGGCCACGGAAUGUUCGAGUGCACACCCAGCGCUGAUCGCAAUCCCAAAGCUUGAUCAAGUUUUCUUUGUAAGACGCCGACAAUAAGAACGGGAAUGUUGGAUGAACAUUAACAAGGAGACAGAUGCGGAACGGUGAGCUUCGAAUUUACGGACCCAGUCCCAGUGCUUUGUGUUUGUGGUGUAAGCGUAGACAUGGAUGCGUCCAUAACCAUCCCCGGCUGCGAACCACUGCUUCCGAGCGAUAAAUUUUGCUGAAUAAACCGCAGACCUGUCACUAAAAUGUGUGGAUUUAUAAACCAUGCCUGGUUUAUUGGUGACCUGCCACGCCAUCACUCUUUCCUGCUGGGCAAUGAACAACUAGAGAUCACUAACCAGAUCAGUUACUGCAUUGUAUUGACAGUCAAAGUUAAGCUAGAUGGAGAGAUGUGUCGUAGCUGGUAUAUACCUUCGUCCGGUAGUUCCAUAUGCAAACCUGCCCUUUUCCUUGGCCCAUCAAAAUCCUGUGAUCGAUGUAGUAUUGAAGUUUAUAAAGAUGAAAUCUAAUUUGAGGAACGUCGAACCAACAGCGUCUUAUAAAGAUAAGGAGUGCCACUCUGACAACGCUCUCACCAAGUCUCGGUGGGGUGCACAUCUAUGGAAUAGACGACGCCUCCAGACUUCCUUGUUGAUAUGAUCUGAUACAAACCAGCAGAUGACAACGAAUUAACUAAUUUAUCACAGUCCAGAGCAAUGUUAGCACAACUAGUGCCUGUGAGAAACUCAAGAUUUCCAUGCAAAUCAGUUUUACAUAUAUUCCCGGCCAUGUGAAUCAGGGUCACUGUGCGCCUACAAUAUACUAUUCCUAAUGAGCUCAUAACAACGAAUAAUAUGUCAGGAUGUUGUUUUAAAUGGUGUUUCCCUGUUGUUUCUGAAGUUUAGACUUCUUCAUUUUUAAUAUAAUCGGCAGAUCUGCAGCCUGUUCCAUUUCAAAAAUAUGUCAAUGUGUGCUAACAUGCAUGUAGCAAUAAUUAAUCAUGUAAAUCUCACCUGGGAGGUUACUGCUGCCUGGCAGCAUGCUGGGUCACGGAUGACAGCAGUUAGCAUCUCUCGGUGCACCAAGCCCCCAAGCUCCUUGACUCGCCUAAAAAUGUUGCUGUCCGUUUUCAGCUUGUUGCCAAUGGAUGGCUCCAAAUUCAAACUUUUGAGAUUCUGCUCCGACCCCAUGGCAACCAUCAACACCUCAAACUUGCCCCUGUCUUGCGAUGGUGGUAGCAGGAGUUCUCUCUAUGUCAUAGCCACGACCAAAGUAGAAUGUGGCUCCAGCAACUGGAACGUGGGUGAGCUCGGAGAACGAAAGUAGUAGUGAAGUGCGUAGGAACUGGUCGUUGUAAUCCAGACGCGAACGUGAUAAUCCGUCCUGUUAGUCAGGGUCACCCGGAAUUUGAUGAGCCUUUUUGGCUCAAAGGGGAAGCAGAGCUCCAGUGGGUGGACGUCCAGCUCUAGCAGUUUUUUUUUUGAAACGAGCUAGCACGAGAGCUGCUGCUAUAUUAAAAAAGAAGGAUGCCCGAUAGGUAGAGUAAAAAAGACUGUACACUGUACACUCUUUACAGAGACUCCACCAGUAUACUAUACAUGGAACUACAAAAAUCACAUGGCUGAAGUGAAAGCCGCUAAAUGCUUAGCUCCUGCUGCAAUCCACGUAGUUACAUGGUCCUUAAUCUUCUCGCAGACCCUCUGUGCUGUUUGCUCUUUAUAUUUGAAAGUUCUUACGUUUCUUUCCAUCCAAAUCUCCCAUAGGAUCAGAAUAAUGAGGCUUUGCAAGCCCUUUUUAUGUUCCAUGUUAGCGGCCCCUAGGGCUGUCCACCAACUGUGGAUGGAGUCGUGUCCUCCCCAUGUAUUCAGGGAUAAGCUUGCACAUCCUGUCCAUAUAGACAUCUCCUCCCAAAUUGUCAUCGCAAAGGUGCAUUCCGUAAAUAGGUGUGGGCCAGUCUCUUGCGUUGUGGUACAUAGCACACAGUGCGUACUGUUGGGCCAUCUGUGCCUCUGUGCACUCUGUCGGAUGUCUAUAUUCUAUCUUGGAUAGCUAGCCAGCUGAAAAAUUUGCAUUUGGGAGGUGCCCAUAUCUUCCAGAUGAUGUUCUCAAAAUUAGUCGUCAUUGAUCCUAUAAACUGUGCCUGGUGUGCCGAUUGUGAGGAAUAUUGUCCGUCUUCUGUGAACUUCCAUGCUAUGGUGUCCUGAAAGCCCGGGCAUAACUGCAAGCUGUUGACUUGAACCAUAAGCAGUGGUAUUCGAUGAAAUGAGAUACUGAAAACCCACGGUGUAGAAGGUUUAAAUCCUGAAUCCAUGUGUCACUCACUGUUUUUUCUCUUGGAGAUUCUAUACAGGUUGGGCGCAAAGUCCCUCGGCCGCUGACCAUUGAUCCAGCUGCUGUGCUAGAAUGAAGUCUUUUUUCCAUCUCCAAUUGUUACCUUUGUGACCGUGGCCCCCCACUGCGGCUCUCCAGUCAUUCAUUCAUGGCAUAGCCCUCUGAGUUGUAGAGCUCGGGAGAAUUUUCCGAGGUGUAGCACUCCUAUUCCCCCUUUCCGUGGUCUUGCCAAUCGGGUCCAAUUGACUUUGCACUUCCCUCCUGUGAUUGGUUCCGAUCCCACUUAUAAGAACUGUUUCCGUUUAGCGUCAAUGUGCUUCAUUAUUUCUUUGGGGGCUUGUAGUGCCGUCAGUAGAUAUACUGUCUGCGAGGUCAGUACUGAUUUAACAAGCGUGAGACGUCCUGCUAUCGUCAUGUUUCUGCCGCUCUAGCUGAUAAGCUUGCCAAUAAUCUUGUCUAGCAGAGGUUGGAAGUCUCCAAUGGUCAGAGCGCAUUCAUCAAGAAACGGAGUAUCCACGACAACUUCAUAACGGUGCGCAAUACAGCUAGACGGUACCAUAGAAGUAAAACACCGGCCAUCUUUUUCAAGUUGGAUAUUGCGAAAGCAUUUGACUCCGUCAAAUGGGACUACCUACUAUCACUCCUACAGCACUUGGGCUUCCCGACACACUGGCGAGACUGGAUUGCAGCGAUGUUAUCCACAUCCUCAGCUCGAGUCCUUUUGAAAGGGGUACCGAAUCAGCCAAUUAAACACGGCGGGAGAUUAAGACAAGGCGACCCCCUUUCCCAUUACUGUUUGUAAUAGCAAUUGACCCGUUGCAAAGAAUGUUGGAAUUGGCAACCGAAUUGGGAGUCCUCAACACGAUUCGCGGAUGAGCACCGUCAUGCCGUAUUUCGAUGUAUGCGGAUGACGCGGCGAUGUUCAUGGCACCAAGAAAGGAAGACAUUGAUAUGUUGGUUGACAUACUACGUAGGUUUGGAGAAGUGACAGGACUGAAAACGAACUUCCAUAAGUCUACCACUGUACCCAUCUGAUGCUGAGGGCAUUCAAUUGACCGAGGUACUGCACAAUCUUCCGGUGAAAUUUGGCAGGUUUCCUAUCAAAUAUCUAGGUCUACCACUGUCUACCGUGCGUCUAAAAGCUCUAGCAGUUUGGUUGUUUCACAUGACCCACGGAUCAACUGCAACCAGCAAAGGCACGAAGGAACUCAGACAACAUGCUUUGAAGACAUAUAUCCCUUGUUUUUCCUAGCCGCAGUAGAAAAUUUCGGGUUCCAUCCUAAGCAAUUGCAUUGAGUGAGAGCUCUCCUGCAGUGUAUCAUAGUUACAGAAUCGAUUGGCAUCUUGUACUAAGAGAUUGGGAAAGUAGCAUCAGAAAAGUUUAAUUUCUCUGUUGGAGUACUGGGGAGAUAAUCAAGCAUUGAUUGCUCAUAUACCUGUUCUACUGAAGACCCGGAGUUAUUUUUCAUGUGGCCAAAAACCGGAGAAACCAUUUGAAUUGGGGUAUCCUUCUCACUCAACAUUUCAAUGAUCUGAUCCAUAGUAGGUCUUCGAUAUUGAUCAUCUUUCACACAAAGUUUUGCUUUUAAUGCAUCUCAUUACUUUUGGGCAAUCUGUUAUAUCUAGUGAUCUAUCCCACUGCAGGAUUUUAAAACCAAAGUAAGAAACCAGAAAUGAUAGCCUCAAUUAUUCCAAAAUAGCUAUCAUUGCCCGUCAUGCAUACAGAUGGAGAAAACUCCAGAUCAAAGAGUAUGUUAAUGUGAAAUGAUCAAUAAGCUUAUCUUAAUCUAAUUAGGUGUUUUUUCCAAAAUCAAAGAAUUCAUUGCUUCCCCUUAAUAACUUUAUGAUUAUGAUACCCAAACUAUAAAUGUCUGACUUGAAAGAUAUUUCCCCUCUAUUCCAAUAUUCCGGAGCAAUAUAUAGCCUGCAUUAUAGUACGAUAGUUUAAAGCAUCAUGGUUGCAAGAAUUAAAUGACUCCAGAAAUAACAACCGAUUUAGGCAUUAUUUCCUUACGGUGUUCCACGGAUAUUUUUAGUAAUUAUUCUGGAACGUGCUCCACUAAAGCAUCUUGAUAAGCCAAAGUCUGUUAUUUUUGGAACCAUGUCAGCAUCUUCAGGCUUGAGAUCCAAAUGGUUAAUGCUUUCAUUGUUAUGAAGAUAACGCAAACCCUGACAAAUUCCAUCAACCAGCCCCGAACAGAGAAUAGGGAAAAUAUUAGCCCUGUCCCCAGCCCCGUCGGGUCCCCGAAAUCUAGCAGCCUCCGUGGGGAAUUCAUGCGACAGCAAAAAAACACUCGUUAGCACGCUUCUAAUUCAUGUCAUUACAAUUUUUUACAAGAGUGCGCGGGACAUUUACACAUAAGACAUCAGAGUUUGUACAAGAGCAUUCUAAACUUGAACACGGUUGCUUCAGGAUCUUGGCUAGUGCGUUGAUGCACUUUGUGCCGAUGUGCAAGAAUCAAAGAAUAAAAAAAAAACAAGAGUCAGAUAACACUACUAAAAAACUGACCUUCCAUCCAGAUACUUUUAUCCCGGUUAAUAUUGGAUCCACUUUAGUCCCGGAUCAAAAAUGAAGCACCGAAAGGACACUAACGGAACGGGCUUUAGUCCCGGUUGUAAAGAUCUGACACCGACGCCCCCCGUCCCGGUUGGAAUAUAACCAGAACAAAAGGGGACGUAGGUGUCAGAUUUUCACACGGCCCUCGAGGCAGCGCUCUCCACCUUCAGGCAGCGCUCUCCUCUCCACUUAUCUUCUUCGUUCCUCUUCUCAUCCCCUCCUCCCUCUCCUCAUCCUCUCCAUCGGCACUCCCCUCCUCUCCCUCUCUGUGCCGCCGCCGCCCUCUCACCUCCCGGGCGCGGCGUGGGCGGGCGGGCGGCCGGUGGGUGAGGGCGGGCAACCGAGACUAAAGGACAGCUCCUUUUAUCUCGAAAAUUUAGUCCUAGUUAAAUUUUUGUGAUCUAUGGUCCUAUCCAACUGGGACUAAAGGUUCAUUUUCCAGUAGUGUAAUCUGGUGCCGGCUGUUCACGUGGCCACAUAUUUGGAUAGACGAGUAGCGCAGGACAUUGGUCAAGACGCAGAGGACGGUAGGACGGACCGGUGUGGUGGCUUCCAAUGACUUGGCUGGUGCCGCGUCCACUGUCGAUGGCUGGACGGCAACAACUUGCCUCUCGCGGCCUAGCCGGCCAGGAUCUCCAUCUCGCGACCUCGUCGGUACCUCCGCCUCGCGGCGUAGCUGGCUCGCUAUGCUGCUGUGAAGCAGUGGCUGCAUGAGGAAGUGGGGAAUGGGGAGAGUGCAGUAUACAUAUGUCUUAGUUACAUGGGCUAUUGGGCUAGCAUAUAGUUAGAUGGGCCAAAAGCAUUUGCUGGUUUUCUAAUAUCGGAUCCCCGUGGUGCCCCGCGGGGCAAAAUUCAUCCCCGCCCCCCACCCCUGCCCUGCUAGGAUUUUGGGAGCCCACCCUGUUAGCCCCAUAGGGGCAAAAAUAGCUACAACCCCAUUAAUUUCGGAGCGGAUCCCCACCUCCACGGGGAUAAUUGCCAUCCUGACAUAACUCCAUGUAUAGUAGCGUGGCAAUGGGAACGCCUUAUUAAUGACCUGACUGAACAGUAGCUAGUGGUAACAUGUAAUAUGAUAACCGGAACAAAGAGAAACUAAAACGGAGCUAGAAACACAAAUAAGCGCAACCACCCAGGGGAGGAGCUAGGGAAGAAUUAAUAAAGAGGGUGCGGCACCUUCCUAGUAUGCAUAGAUAUUGAAAUAAACAUGGUGAAAAAUUAGGAGUAAUAAGGGAUUAUAAUUUUUUUUGGGUGCGGCUGCACCCGGCAGCCACAACUACAAUGUAGCUCCGCCCGCCCCCCGCAACCACCACGCAUGCUUGAUGCACACUCAGCAUGUACCCAGCGGGGGAUUUCCGUUGCUGCGGCCAUUGAGGCACACAAUCACGCAGGGCUGGAACACCUGCAAUUUGCACUGCUCCACCGUCAGACACAAGUUGGAGUUGGAGGUGACGCCCCUGCAUGUCGCCUCGGCGUAGAGCUGGCAAGCAUUGGAACAGUCGGUGCCGCACCUCUGCUGCUGACCCGCAACCGCCGGCGGGCCGACUGACAACAGGACCAGCACGGCGUAGACGGUGACAGCGGCUGUUGUCGUCCUAAGCGGCCGCGCCAUUACAAGCAAUUAUGGUUACUUAGCUACUUGACCGAGGGAACGCUGAAAGGAAAUGGUGCUCGUAGUAUUAAAGGGAAAGGGGUGAAUUUAGUAAUUUAAAAAGUUAAACUAUGGCUCCCACUGCUUUACAUGAAGAUAAAUUAGAUCAUUCUAUCCUGUAGGUGCAUUCUAUAGUUGAUUUAGCGUGGAAUCCUCAUUCCAAAACAAGUUUUGCAACCUAUAGCUAAUUCUAUCAAGAUAAUACUCUAGAAAAGUAAAGGCACACAAAUUACAAGUAUGAAAUGCGGAAACGUAAGAGGGGGAUAAGGGGAAGCAAACUCUUGAUAUGAUGAUUUAUUCCGUGGUAUCAGUAGGCACUAAGCCACCACUAGUCCACAUUGUUGAAACACUCACAUAAGAGUAUUACUUCCCGGUCACCAAGUCUCUCCCAAGGUACCCUUUGACUUGCCACAAAGGCUCAACCACUAAGGCUCACGCUAAGUCCCUCGGUCACCUUGAUGCCGUCUCCACUAAGGAGCUUCUCCACGAAGGGACGGGGUCUCCGCGUCCCCCGCACAAGGUCGUCGACGCUGCUCCACACCAAGCUGGAGGGUCCAAGACUUGCCGGUGAGCCACCAAGGCUCCAAGACGCCGGCACACCUCUUGUAUAGUAGUGGUUCACUCUAGAACCUGAUCACAAGGUAGGCACACCUUACACUCACUCCUCUCUAGGCCUAUCCUAGAACUAAUCACUCUUCUAAGCUUGUGCUAAGCCUUUGAUGGAUCACUUAAGCACUUUUGGUGGCUUGGAUGUGUUCUUGAUGAAACCUUUUAUAGGCCAUGGAAGCAGCGGAGGGGGUUCCGGGAGGGGAAAACAAGGUGGUGGCGGCCAUUAAGGUGCUUGGUGGAGCCGGCCGUUACCGGUGGGAGGAAGGGGAAACUGAGGAGGUGGGCGGCGCUCGGAGGUGAGCGGGCGCGGCAGCUGAGGGGGGGCGGGGAGUCGGAGCGACGCCGGGAAGCGAAGGGGCGCUAGGAGGUGAAGGAACACGGCGGUGCGGUGGAAGCCAAACGGCGGUGCUGGCUGAAGCUAGGAGAAGGACCUGCAGGUGGGGCCUACUUGGCGGUGAAAGGGAGAGAGGGAAAGGUCCCCCAGGCCGGCAGAAGGGAAAGGGGAGGCUGGCCUGUCGGUGGAAGAGGAGAGAAGGAGAUGGGCCGGCAGGGAGAUGGGCUGAAAAAAAAAGAAGAAAGAGGAGGCCGGUAGGCGGUCUGGCAGGGCCGAUCGGAGUGGGUUGGGCCCAUGGGCUCGGCCCGAAGGAAAAGGAUUUUUCUUUUUUUCAAAAAUAAUUUCUCGUGUAAAUAAAAAUUUAAAAAAUCUUGAUAAUUUAUUUAAGCCACGAAAUAUACUUUCAAAAUUCUAAACAUUCCAGGAAAAUUCCUAGAGAUAGUUUGAGACACAGAAAUCCAAAUAAAAUAUUUGGUACUUCUGAAAAAUAUUUUAGAACCAUCCAAAAUUUUUGAUUUAGCUCUUAGAAAAUAAGAAUAAAAUUCCAAAAAAAGCUAGAAAAUUCUCAGAAGGGUCUGGACUAUGUCUAAACACAUUAUUAAAACUUUUUGCACUCAUGAAAUACCAAGAUGCACUGGCAUGAAUGGACAGACACAGAACAACCUUAUUUAAUUUCGAAAAACAAACAAUUAUUUUUCCUACACUAAAUUUCCUGUAAAGAAAAAUAAAUGUUGGAAAAAAAUUAAAAUUAUGAGAAAAUCAUUGUUUAAUUAUCCCAUUUCAUAUCCUGAAAUUCAAAAAUUUCAGGGUAUGAUAUGGUGGAUCUGCGAGCGAGGUGGUGGGGUGAGCGGCGAGCCAGCAGCGGGUGAGGACGGUGAUGGAUCUGUGAGGGGAGGAGGCGAGAUAGAGGGAGGCGGAGGCAACGAGACAGAGGAGGCGGAGAGGCGAGGGAGCGAGGGAGGCGGCCGAAAAUGGAGUAGUGUUUCAGGGCAAGGGAGCGAUCGGCCGCGGCUGGCUUUUAUAUGGCCACGAGGCGGGCUGAGCGGGCCUUGACUGGUCGGGCCGACCGUUGAAUCCCGUCAGAUCAAAUGGGCUAGGCCGUGCCGGGCCAGCAUGUGGACAGAGAUAAUGGCCUAGGCACGGCCCGUGGUGUGGACUGGGCCAGCACAGGCACAACGGCUGCCGUGCCGGGUCUGGACCGGGCCAAAAUCCGGUGCCACUGGGGGCAUGCAACCGAUACAGUAAAAUAAAAGGGCAAAAAGAAAAGAAAUAUAUUCUGGCAACGUUUCUGAAGGAAGGCAGGCAGCUUCGUUCUGCACCUACGCUGCUACCAGUUUCAGGGAAAAGCACAUCAAGCUCAUUUCUGACCCUCCGCCUCUGGCUUCGUUCCACCUAACUCCUGCGGAUGCAUGGCUACUACCACUGCUUUCAGACCCUUCUCCUGAUCGAUGGCGGUGGCAUGGAGCUUUCCAGCUGCCCCGUCGCUUCUCCUGUAGAUGCAGUACAGCACUAGCUGAAGAAUGCCCAUUGGAACGCCGACGAAGUUUGGAGACUGCGGUAUGUGAAAGUGGAACAUCAGAGAGUGAUGAUCAGUUUAAUCGAGUUCCAUCUUAUAUCAGUGAACAUGAUCAGGAUCUUGCACUAACCGCGAUGAACAGAUCCUUCCCAAGGAGCCCAUAUAUCAUCCACAGAGCGCUGGACAGGAAGGAGAACAGUGACAGGUAGAAUGGCAUGAACUCCACACUUUUCGUCGUUAUGACUUGCUUCUGCAGUGACAAGUUCAGUUCGGAAAACCUUUGAUUAUGAAACUGCAAUACACAUGAAUGUCUCUGGAGUGAAAAUUAAUGCCUUUUAGUAGUACAUGAUUUCUUAAUUAAUCUGAUUUGGUUUCUGUACCACUACUUCGAUGACAGUUGGUGAAUUGGAGCUUUUACAUAAGAGGUUCAGACUGAGCCUUUGUUUAUUCAGGACAAGGUUUAAUCACCAACUGCCAAUUAUAUAAAAAAAAUCACCAAUUACUAUCUAAUUGUGUAGGUAAUAUAUAUUUGAUACUCACUGCAGCUACCAUUGGAGAGCUGUACAUGGAUAUGGAAGCAACUAAACCAAUACUACCAACAAAAACCUUGCGCAUACGGUGCGUAUGGACCAUAAAGCUUGAGAAGAACGCUGUCAAGCCAAAUAAUGUCACAGCAGGAAUCACCAAUUGCAAGGCAAACCUCUGCAACAAAAAUAAACUAAGAUGGUGUUAACUGUGUUCAGCAGUUUACACAUAUCGAUUCAUAUGAAAUAGAAUAGAAUAAUGCGCCGUAGAUCACUUGCCUUCUUUUUACUUGGCGCAAACCAUAUGUAUAUGCUGAUAAAUGUGAUCUCAAGCAGGAUGCCCACUCCAUUGAUGGUAGAAACUGGGAAAUUUUCCCAUCCAGAGCUCACUACAGGAAGCCCAUACCAGGUGUACAGGAGGCAGUUGAACAGAGCUAGUAUGUAAGGCACGCAUGAGAACUCCUCUACAUUGCCCUUCUUUACCACCCUUCUGAAUGUCAAUCUGUGAAACAUCAGUCGCAGAGCAUAAGAAAAGAUUGCAUAGGUUGUAUCAAUUUCUGAUCAUGCAUAGUACUUCUGGAUACGACACGUACAUUGGUGCUGCAUAGAGGAGCAUAGAAGCAGCAUUUCCUGCAACAAGGAGAGACUUGUUUUACAGCCAUUCAUGAAAACAAAUGACUUCAAAAGGAUAUGCAGAUGAGGAGUACCAAGAAUUCCAACUGCUACACGGACUGUGUUAGGAACCAUUCUUGCCGUGCAGAGAUGGUUUCAGUUUUCAGGUGGACAGAUGGUAUAUCUGACAAAGACUGCUAGAAUGGCUUUGCUUGCCUGAAGUGGACGUUAGCUAUUUAUACUCCCUGAGCUGAGGCAUAGCUGAUUUGCACAAUGACUUGAGUGCAGUGGGUGGUACAGCAUGAGAGGAACCGGUUCUCGUAGCAUAAGAGGGGAGAGUUGAAUUAGCCAACUCAAAAUCUUAACCUAUGACUUCCACUACUUUGCAUCAAAAUAUAACCUAGAUCAUGCUAUCUAGAUGUGCAAUCUAUAGUUGAUAUAAUGAAAACCCUCAUCCCAAAACAAGUUUUGCAACCUAUAGUCAAUCCUAUCAAGAUACUACUCUAGGAAAGUAAGGGCACAUAAGUUGAAUGUAUGAAAUGCAAAAACGUAAGGAGGGGAUGAGGGGAAGCAAACUCUUGACACAAGAAUUUAUCCCGUGGUAUCGGUAGCCACUAAGCCACCACUAGUCCACAUUGUUGAAACACUCACACAAGAGUAUUGCUUCCUCGUCAUCAAGUCUCUCCCAAGAUGUCCUUGACUUGCUACAAAGGCUCGGCCACUAAGGCUCACGCCAAGUCCCUCGGUCACUUUGAUGCCGUCUUCGCUAAGGAGCUUCUUCACGAAGGAUGAGGGUCUCCACGUCCCCUGCACAUGGUCGUCAACGCCGCUCCACACCAAGCUGGAGGGUCGAAGACUUACCGGCAAGCCACAAAGGCUCCAAGGUGCCGGCACACCUCUUGUACAGUGGUGGUUCACUCUAGAAACUGAUCACAAGGUUGGCACACCUUACACUCACUUCUCUAGGCCUAUCCUAGCAUUGAUCACUCUCCUAAGUUUGUGCUAAGCCUUUUAUGGAUCACUUAAGCACUUUUGAUGGCUUGGAUGUGUUCUUGAUGAGUCUUGAUCUUCAAUGCAUCCCUCCACACUCCAGCAACUCCAAAUGGAUGAAUAGUGGGGGUAUAAAUAACCCCAAGGGCUUCAAGAGCCAUUGCUCUAUUGGCUAGUUAAAAAGUAUACCAUCGAAUAUUUUGAUGGCUUAUUUUUAGCUUGCAUCGGAACAUCUAGUGCAACUAGUAGCCGUUGGACCCCCCACACCAUAGAAUAAUCCUAGAUAUCAUGGCUUGAUCACUUAAAUGCCAUAGCUUGAAUAUUUACAUACCAUGCCUUGGACACUCAAAUACCAUAACUUGGAUGUCAAGAAUACCGUCAUUUGAACAUUUCCAUGAUUUGGUUUGUAUUCUUGGGACCUACAAAACCUACAAGGUAUAUGCUAGACAAAGCAUUAAUCCCAAUAACUAUGUUGUCACUCAAUCACCAAAAUCAUAAAUUAUGGCUUAAUGAGGCCAUGUUCCUACAAAUACCAUAGAAGGGAUGGUGAUGAUGCGAUUUAUAGGGACCCAUAUUAUGCAAGUCGCAGGCAGUCAGGUCUCACGCAAUACCUAGUUGACUUGAGAAUAUGAAUGAAUAUACAAUUUAGCAUGUGCUCCCGUUAUUCAUGGAUCUUGGUAAGGACGGCGACAGAACAGAAACUAUACUUAUUUUAUAUCAUCAACCGGAGGUUGGUCAAUGUGGGCAAAGGGGAUCUGAAAACAGGUAAACACUCGCAUGUCAUCACCGAUCAAAUGCUUAAACAGUGCAGUUUAUGUGCACUAAAUUAGAGCCAAUCUUGUGUGUUUGGAGCAUGUGAGAUCAUGAUAAAGUACACCGAGAACUGUUUUUGAAACCACAUGGUAUCAUGCCACUCAAAUCCUUGGUACGAAAAAUAAAGACCCACCAUCAUCUAAUCGUUAUUGUAAGGACGGAUGUGACUAAUUAUUGUUGUUAACCUUGUAAAAGUCUAAUUAAAUUCCACUGCACCAAAGAUACCGUCACUUGGAUGGUCUAGAUUUUCUCUAUCAUUUGGAUGCUUCAAUACCAUAGAACAAUCCUAGAUAUCAUGUCUUGGUCACUUAAAAAUUAUAGCUUGUAUACCAUCAUUUAGAUGUCAAGAAUAUCAUCAUGAGGUCUAGCUGGUUGUACUCUUUUUUACUUUGUAGGGUUUCCUCAUGAGGUCCAAAUGAUGGUAUUCUUGAUAUCCAAAUCAUGGUAUUCGAGUAUCCAAGCUAUGGUUUUUAAGUGAUCAAGCCAUGAUAUCUAGGAUUGUUCUAUGGUAUUGAAGUAUCCAAAUGAUAGAGAAAAUCUAGACCAUCCAAGUGACGGUAUCUUUGGUGCAGUAGACUUUAAUUAGACUUUUACAAGGUUAACAAUCCAGACUCCCAAAUUAAUCUCCAUAGAUCCAAUCCAGUUGUAAUCUAAGCUACACAGCACACAUCAUUGCAUAAUUAGUGAUGUUAAUAACGUGCAUAAGCAAGAAUCUAGCUAGCUGGAGAUCUAAACUCCGUGUAAUUUUAAUAAUCGUGCACGUUAGUCCGAUCCUGAUGGGGCAGCUCAGUAGAUUGCGACGGCAUUUGGAGGGGAGUAGGUGAAGGAGGAAGCAACAAAAGGGAAACAAGAAGAAAAGAAGAAGGAAUGGUAUAAGCCUUGCAUUUGUAAAUACGGACCUAAUACUCCCUCCGCCUUAAAAUAUAAAGGAUUAUGAGUUUGAUCAAGUUUAUCAGAAAUAACAAUAAUAAUAUUUAUGAUAUCACAUGAGCAUAAUUAUUAGACCCAUUUUGAAAUAUAUUUUCAUAGUUCAAUCAUUUGAUGUGGUAGAUGUUAAUAUACUUCUCUAUAAACUUAUUGAAACUCAGAAUAGUUUAACUUCAAAUAAAUUCAGUAUCCCUUUAUAUUUUACGGUGAAGAGAGUACAUGAUUACAAAUUGGCACAUAUUGAUCCAAACUUGGGGACACAUAUUAUUUUUUCAAAACUAUAAAAUGCAUGAGUUAUUCUUUCUUAAGAGAUGAAAGAAAGCCAUUAUGAUCUGAAGAGGUACAACAUAUACGUAUUGGCAAGUUCGAAUCAGUUAGCUAGGUUCAUGGUAUUGAAAUAGUGAUCGCACACUUUUGUUUUUAAAAAAGAAGAAGGAGGGAAAAAAUAACCUAACCCUAACACAGUUCGAGGCUACUUUGACCUUCCAGCUGAAAUUAUGGGAAGAGAUUUUCAAGGGGGAAAUGUAGGAUUAAAUUUAGAGAAGAAAACAUAUUGAGAAGUGCUCCGGUACUACUCUUUUAAUUUCUUGCACGAAUUUUAAAGUAGCCCACAAUUUAAUUAAAAAUUUUCUUAAUUAUUCUUUAUCUGGGUCUCCAUCCCAUGCCCGCCUGCCCAUGGUCCAUUCCGAUCCACUUCUUCCGAGUCUCGAUCCCCUUUCUUUGAUCGGACGUUCCAUUUCGCAUGCCGCGUGAGGAGCUCCUCCGAGCGAGGGCGCUGCGGUGCUCAAAGACGGCGGCGACAGCGCCACCGAGCGGAUCGAGGCGACGACAAUCCCCAUUCUUGCCAUCUGCCUGAGCACUCCGCCGCGGUCCUCAAGUCACUUGCAGCGUCCGAGCCGGUGUUGUCGACACUCUGCUGCCGGGGAGCUCCACAACGUCGUGAUCCUGCAUGGCUUCGGGAGCACAUCGGUCAUCACUGUUAAUGCCAAAUUGCCAAUGCCGGGGACGCGUGAUCUGCUCGACUACUCGCGCGAUGUUUCACGAAAUGCCCCGGCGAGACAUCCUGUCUUGCUACUCACUAGCUGAUAUCAUCGUAUGCCCGUGAAGGACGUACCGCGAAUGAAGUGCAUGGACCCUGAGUUGAACGUGUUCAUGCCGGUGGCGGCUAUUAUGGGAAUGAAGCUUGGUUGGUUUGUUCAGUACGUUUGUUGAAAACAAUAUGUUACAUCUACUACGCUCGUUCAGUUAUCUGCACAACUGAAGCAUUGUCGUCUUCGUUUUGGUUGAUUGAAGCAAACACGGAGCGUUAUUUUGCUACUUCAAUAGCUGGUUCACCUGUUACCAGAAAUCAGUUGUCAAGACUCAAGACACACAUUGAUCUUUCAUAAUGGAGUUUUGAAAAUUUUCUUGUUUCCAGCGAUUGGUAUUAUUGGUAGGUUAUAUAUGCAAGCACGGAUACAAUUUAUGUCCAUACAAUUUUGCCACUAUCACCAGUCAAUUCAAACACCUUCAGGGACCCAUAAAAAGUGCAGCCUCUGAGUAAAAAGCAUUGAUCAUUCCAUCAACACACUCACUACUCUGAGCACAGUUGUUUGUGAUAGCAUACUGACGGGUACCUAUACCAGGGAUACCCCCACGGGAGGAGCCCAAGCAUAUAGAAGAGUCCAAAGCAAAGCAGCCCAGCACAUGCUGAGUGACAGCCCGUAUGUCGCCACGGCCCACCUCCCGACCUUCCAAGGCUGAAUACAAGAGAGCAUCGUCCGUCUUGCUCUCUUGCUCUACAACUUGCGGGUGGAACCCACAUGGGUCCAAAACGCCUCACCUACCCCAUGACCAAAGGCAACCGGUGUCGUAUCCGGUGAAUUAAAUACGUGACGUGGCAUCCCUGACUGCUCAGGACGGCCUGCACGCGGGGACGUGAUCUGGCAGAGGGCGCCAACCUCUAACCAAGAGGUCCAAAGCGUAAGGUUGCACCCUUCGGACCGCGUCAGGAUGGCACGACGAAGGAAACCACACGGACCGUACCAGCGCACAGGUGCCGGGACACCAUUAUGACCUGCCCCUCCGUCACGGACCGUCAGGAGCAAGGUAAGGGAGCCACGGCAGGCCCGGCACGGUCCUGACACAAGGCGGGACCCAGGAGGAGACACCACAGCGUCGGGCGGCUGUGAGGGCACCCCACAGGUCGGGGAAAGCUGGGGCAGGUGGCACGGAUCAACCCGGCUACUGGUCAGAGCUCGCCAACCCACUCCAGGUGUGUCAGCAACAGUGUCUGUCCCAUUUUCUGCCACGGGAUCGGCAGAUGGGAUGGAGGCAUGGCCUGGGGCAAACCACACUGUGCGUAAGCUCUUCAUGCAGCACAGGAGCUGCCACGCCAACUGUACAAACCCCAAGAUUGAUGAGGAGAAUAGGACUACAGGGUCCCACGCGAAGGGCCCCACAUCACCAGCUCAAGCCUUGCUGCACCGACCUGCCCACGUCUCCCGACCUAUGUAGUCGGAAGACCCCCUCCUUUAUUGAAAAUUGUCACCCAGACCCUAGCCUAGCUAACCGGGCCUUCUAUCUCCAUCUCUGGAUUCCACAACCAACACACACGCACACAUGCAAUCAUUCUGUAACAACUCAAGUUUCCUUCACAUUUAAAAUUUGGACCCUAAAAACUUUUUCUUAAAAUUUAUCUAGCAAUUUAAACCAUAAAGCCUUGCGCUUGAAUUAUGCAUCAAAAUAUAGUUUUUCAUGAACAUAUAUGCAUAUGUUUGAGCUAACUAUUCCCUAUAUUCCAAAGUGUUCCACGUUAAUAUUCCUUUCAAACCCUUACACCAAAAUAUAUUCAAAUUUGAAAUUGCAAAUUUGAACAUAAACACUUCACUAACUAAAAGGAAAAAACCAUUUAAACCUACUUGGACCAGCAACCUCGGAACCAGUCCCCUUUCUCCUUUUCGGUCCGGCCUGUCUCCCCCCUUCUCCCUCUCACGCACGUCAUAGGCCGCCCCAAUAGCUAGCCUAGCUACGCGGCCCGAUCCACUGCCUAAUCGUCUUCCACUGUUCAUCCCCCCUUCCUUCCCUCUACCCGCGACGCCACCGCACGCCCGCCAUGUGGGUCUGCACCCCUGGCCGCCCCUGCUACCUCCUGACACGCGGGCCGCCGUCACCCACACCUUCACCACACCCCGCACCACUCAAGGCUCCCUCUCCUGCCUAGGAACCCACCCACUCACACAUGCUCGCACAUGCGCCGGAGCACGGCUUUCGGCUACCUCACCUUGAUCUCCCUCAUCCUCGCCGGAUUCGCUUCCCCGGUGAGUGCACCAUAACCACCUGCGCUAGGCGCAUUUAUUACGUCCUCAUCCCCUUGCCCAAGCCUCCUCCCCAACCUUAUCUGCCUCCAUCACCGGCGCAGCAUGUCACCACCACUGUUGCGCUAGAGCCACCUGUCCCUCGCUGGGAUAAGCUUGCCUCGACCAGCUCGAGCUCCCCAACCACCCCGGCCACCUAUAAAUAGCCUACCCACACUCCCUCACCUCCUCGCACCACCUUUCCACUUCACCUCACCUCGCCGGAAUACGACCCAAAGCCGUACCCCUCCACUCACCGCCGCGCUCUACCUCCUAGAUCCGGGAUGGGUCAAAGCUAAGGCUACUGCGCAGCUUGUAGACCAUCCUCCUAGCAUCGUAGUGCCACUCCCCACCGGCGCUCCCCGCAAGCCCCUCCGCCAUCGCAAACCUCACUGCCACCGCGUGCUACUGCCCUCCUCCUUAUUGUGUUGCCCGCAUAAGCACUUUGCAAAGCACCAGGUAUAGCCCUUAUGUUGUUCGCAUGCCUACUCACCCUCUUCAGCCAUCUCUCUCCCUUGUCGUGUCAUCGCCCUUCCUCCGGCGAGCCACCCGCUCGCCGCCGGCCAUUCCCUGACAACCACAUCACCACCCACAAGCCCACCAUCCCCUGGUUACCCCCGCAGCCUCUUCCUGGCCUAGCCCAAGGACCACCUCGCUCGGAGCAACGAGCUCUGGUGAGCCCCUCUGCUUGCCGUGGCACCCUGGCAUCCCAAACUAGACGGCACUGCUACCCCUACCCCGUUUCCUGCACCGCGUCCACGUACACCGCCCACACACCUCCCCCUUUGGUCCACCACGUGGUCCGCGGAUGCGCCACGCGGACCCAGUCAGCCUCACGUGCUGCAUCACCCCCUUGGCUCUCCUGUCAGUCUCUCCCCCUCCCUCCUUUGCUUUGCUAUGGCCACCUGACCAAAUACACACCAAAACCUGGGAACCUUAGCUAGAAAUUUCCAAAAAUCAUCAAAAAUUCCUCAAAGAUACAAGAUGAAUUUACAAACCCAACAAAGCCAUCCAAACCCAAGUUGCUCAUAUUUAACGUUAGAAAUUAAAUACAAUUAAAUUUAGCCAAUAAGAAAGGCCCCAUUAGUGUACACCAAAACUCCCCUUUUCUUAUUUCUUUUCUCCAAAAAUCACCAAAAAUAUUAGAACCCGUUUCAAACCUAGUCAUGCCUUUCUUGCACAAAUCACACAUCUAUAGCCCCUAAUUUAAUUCCCAUCCCUUCCCCUAAAAUAGAAAGGCCCAUAUUUUAUGUGACCAAAAUAGGGAAAACAAUCCCAAAGAAAAUUCUAGGAAAUUACCCAAGCCCUCUAAACCCCAAUUCUACUCUUCUAAACCGUGUUUGAUGUAUUGUUAUGAUUGUUUGCUUGAUUAAAUACCUUACAAAUAAUUAUGAUAAUGUAGAGAACGAUGAUGCCGAAAACAUGUUUGACGACCUGAAUUACCAAGAAGAAGCUUUGAACGACCCUGACUACGAGGAAGGCAAGUCCCACAAAUCAUCAUCAUAUUUGAUCCUAAGCUUAUUAAUAAAAUAAAACAUGAUAAUAAAUUGUUUACUUUAUGAAUUUUGCAUAUUUCUUUUAUUUCCUUGUUUAGCUCAUCCUAAUGAUUUUAAGCACUGCUUGCCAUCGUACUUGGUGAUACCCGGAGGUUUGACUUUCUUAGGUAGAAUUGUCCUCCUUACUUCUCAUGAGAAGGUGGGAAACCCGUCAGAAUCCUCUCCUGGGUACUUGACUUCUUGCUCGCGCUCGCGGUGGAUUCUGUUAAUGAUUGUAUGGGCAUCGUGACCAGUGUUAAUCUUAUUGCGAAGAUCCAGUACUGCGUGUUUAGGCUCUGGGUUAGCCUCACGGUGGCCACGGACUCCCAACGGUCCUGCCCGACUAGCCUCUGCUCUAGCUUGGCUUGGUCUGGCACCUGCAAUUUGGCUUGGUCUGGAUGGAGUGCGCCUAUGGCUACUACCCAAUUGACUACAUUGGAAUGGGGUGUGUUGAACUGAAUGUAUCGGUUGUUACUAAUCGAGUCGUUUGUACGCGCGCUCUACCAGUUCAGCCAAUUGUCUAGUGUACUUAUCCUAUGGCAUUGCACGGGUAAUAAGAUCGAAGGACGCGAUGGUGGCAAGAGGAGUAUGAUGUUGACGUGAUUGAAUUGCUUCAAACACAUUAUCCAUGUUCAUGAUUGGCAGGUCUGCUGCAAGGUGGUGGUGGCGCUCUACUCUUGCAGUGUUCCUUGCUUGUCGUCAAGUUCUUUAAGCUUUAGUCUCUUCUCCAGCAACGAUGGCAAUCAGCUCAUCCUGCGAGACAUCAUCUGGGUGACGUUCAUACCGCGGGUUUCUUUCUGGUUGCUCUUCAUCUUCACCCUCUUGUCCAGCAAUGAGAGUGAAGAGUUUUCAUUCUGGUGAAUAGCUUCCCAAACUUGACAUGAUGACUUCCAUGGUGCCCUGUUUCUCGUAGAUGGGUGAUAGAGGAGAUCCCUCUGUCGAGGAUACAUCCCCAAUACCCGCAAGGAAGGAAGAAGUCGGACUCCUACUAGGAUUCCCUUGUAAUUCUACUAGGACUCAUCCCAUGUAAUCCUACUAGGACUCCUCCUUGUAAUCCGACUAGUACUCUGCCCCCUGGAGUAUAUAAAGGAGGGCAGGGGUACCUAGCUCGGUAGGUCACACCUCAACACCCAAGCGUAGGGCACAAUAUACAAACACCCCUAAAUAGGAUGUAGGGUAUUACGCUACUCCGGCGGCCCGAACCUGUCUAAAUCCGUGUCUCGUGUCCUCGCUUUUACCUUCAAGUUCCAGGUCCGGCGAUCCCCCGCUAAACAUUCUGCUACCUCGGGUACCCCUUGGUAGUACGGGAGGGUGUCUAGGUAGGUGAUGAGGCGUGAAUCAUCAUUCUUGGCAAGAGCGGGUGGCUUCAAGCAGGGCCAGUAGAUGAAUCUGCCUUGUGGAGUCAACGUGAUUACCAGGCCUUGUUGUGGACCAGAUAAAGUGGUCUCCUCAUCUGGGUCUGAAUAGUAGUUAGGGUCCUCGAUUGUGUCCGUGUUGGAUUGCGAUCUGGACAGGGUAGCUUGGUAAUUAGCAAAUGUGUUUCAAAGUCUGAAUGGGAAUCGACUUGGGUUGUAGUCCGAUUCGCUUAAUGGCUUAAGCAUCAGCUUGUGAAAAUUAGUUUGACUAGUGGGAGAAGUUGAGUUGUACUUGAAUUUGUCCCUCCAGCCUCUAACUAAGUUAGAAAUUGAAAAUUCACCAAAAUUCUCAAUGAGAUCCUCUAGAGCUUGAUGAUGGAGCUUCAUGGCUUGCUGAUUCUUCUCCGGGGCCAGUGCAAUGUCGCGGUGGAAGUUUCCAGCACCGUUUGCAACGCAAACCCUAGAGCCGAAGAUGAACAUCACGCCAGCUUCGAACGUGACAAUUGGGUUCAUGAUGAUUUGAACCAUCGAGUUCGCCAGUGGAUUCUCAGCAAGAGCCCUUACCUAGCAAGUCAGCUGUCGGUGUUUAGACCUGGCAACCUACCGAGGGGGGUGCUCGAGGUAGUGUCUGGUUAGUCGGGCUUGCCGAGAUCAGGAACUCCAAGGUGAACACGGACACGCGAUUUAGAUAGGUUCGGGCCACUAGAUUGCAUAAUACCCUAUGUCCUGUGUGUUGGUUGGAUUGAAUUGCUUUGGAGGGGGUCCCUGCCUCACCUUAUAUUGCCGGGGGUAGGGUUACAGGUCGAUUGUUUACAAGAAUACUAUAAUAUUCAACUAGACAAGUCCUACUCUAAUUGCUACGAGUAGUUUUCCUAAUCCUCGAUUAGUUCCUGUCCUGCCACAUAGACUAUGCCGUCUUGCACCAUAUCCUCCAUGUCAGACACGUCUCAUUAUCCAGCCCUGUAUCUAGGACUGUCCAAACCUUCUGGUGGGCUCAUAGAUGUAUGUACGACAACUAGGUCAUAUCAUGAUACACAAAUUCUAAGGAACAAUGAGAGUACUUUUAAAAAUGGCAUAAAAAUAACUAAAGUGAGUCUAGCAACAAAUUAAGGUUGGACCCGCGAGUAAGAGGGUAACCUUGAUAGAGGAUCCUAUCAUAAAAUGCUUACUUUGGUCGUAUGAGGACAGGCUAAUGGGAAAGUCUUUCUAGUGGACAGUACAGCCGCACGUGCUAAAAAGGUACAACCUUCGGGAGUACCUAAACAUGUGAGGCCUUAAUUCACACCCCACCAACUAAACCUAAUAAACCAUCCUAGGGGCCACGAUGAGCAAUAGAUAGACUGGAGCAGCACCUUCGCAAUGUCCUAGGUCUAGUCAACACGGGUCAUGAGUUGAGGUCCGUAGGAUAUGUUGACAUUGUAUGUCAAAUUAUGAUGCAUCUUUUCCCGGGAUAGAGUCCACGAGUGGACAUAGUGUGACCCCUGUUUAGACCCCAGCCGUAUUUAUGGACGGAGUUAGGGAAUGUUGUCUAGGAAUAGACACUGGUGGGUACGGGUCUCGUAGGUCAGUACCACCUCCGUACAAGGUAUGGGCUGAUCGAACGUGCGGGUAAAGUGUACACCUCUGCGUAGAGUUAUAAAACUAUUCAAAUAGUCGAGGCUCUCGGUCAAGAGCUCACAUAGUUAAAUCUCCCAUUGAUUAGUCAUAAUCAAUUUCAUAAAGGAAAGAGAGACUCAGGCUUGUCGUGGGAUGUGUCAAGGAAUAGGGCAAAGGCCGGCUCAGGUAAUGCCUGGCAGAUCCUGAUACUCUUGAAACAUGAGAACUAGUAGAGAGGUAGAUUCUCCUUGAGGACCAACAACUUACAAGUACUUGCAUUACAUCCCUUUUAAAUGCGGCAACCACAUAGACUCUGCAUAAAACUAGCUUUUAGGUAAAACUAGCAGCUAUUCCUUGAAAUUAAAAAAAAAAGAGUACCGAAGUAGUUCUCAAACAUAUUGGCCAUCAUCGGCCGCUACCACCCUCUUCUGAUGCACGGGUGCUCGUUGAUUAGAAGUUCAGUAAUAAUAUUUGUUGUUUGUGUUGAUGCCUUUUUUGGUCAACACAUGAAUGCGCUAGCUCGCACGUGCACCAAGCAAUCACCUCGUCGGAGCCUCCGCUCUUGGCUGGUCAGACCUGUCACAGGGACGCCGUGAAAGCCUAGAAACACCAUCUCAGGAGGGACCCCGUCGGAGAUAGAGCACCUAGGGUUGCUCUGAGAUUGGUCAGGCCACGCAGUUUGUCCUCAAACGCUGUCGAGAUGAAGGAGGAAAGCAAGGGGGUUGGAAAAGUUAGGGUUUGGAGAUAAAAGGUAAAUAAUUGUGUUUCACGAUUUGGUGAUAGCCCUCAAUCGGCCAGGGCCCUUUAUAUUUAUAGGGUGGGAGGCCUUUUCCCGCAAGGAAAUCCUGCUUUAUCUCCAAUUCAACCAGGACUCCAAAUUCCAUCUCAGACUCAGGGUGACCAAUCUGACCGGCCAAGGCCACCGGUCAGACCGGUGGGUGUAUGCCAGACCAGCUUUGAGCCUGAUUGGCGCCGCUGCCACUUUUGGGCGUCAACAUAUGCCCUCUGUUUCUUGGUAAAGCUUGUGUGCCAAGAAAUAAAUUAGACCUUAGGAUGAUGAAUUCCACUGGCCAUUUGUCCUAAGGGUGAUAUUUCAAAAAUAUCAACCAUAUUGCUUUAAAUGUCCUGCCAAACACUCGGAUGAUAUCUUUUCAAGUACUUCCCGUUCAGAGCUAUAGGUAACUGAAAUCCAUUUAAAGUUUCCACCAUAUAAGAAUUUCCACGGAGCACACUGGUAAUCUUGUAUGGCCCUUCCCAGCUUGGGGACCACUUUCCAAAUUCAUUGCUUUUGGCUCCUAUAGGUAGAAUUGUCUUCCAAAUUAGAUUUCUACCUAAAAUGUCUUGGUCUUGACCUUCUUGUUGUAUGCUUUAGCCACUCAAAUUUUAUCCCUUUUAAUCCUAACCAAAGCCUCCAUUUGCUUUUCAAUCACUUCACCAAUAUUGUCCAUCAUUAAAGCAUAAUAGGUAUCAAAAACAAGAUCAUUCUGCUUAGCCAAUAUAUGCAUCCAGAAUUACCUCAAUAGGUAAAAUAGCUUCUUGACCAUAGACAAGCUCAAAAGGAGUAACUUUAGUUGCGUCAUGCCUAGAAAUACGAUGAACCCAUAAAGCUUCUGAUAAUACCUCAUGCCAUCUUUUAGGAUUGUCUUCUAUCUUCUUCUUGAUGAGCUUUAUCAAGACCUUGUUGCUAGACUCGGCUUGACCAUUAGCUUGAGCAUAAUAAGAAGAUGAAUUGAGUAAUUUGAUGCCAUAAGAUACCACAAACUCAUGCACCUCUUCAGAUAUGAAUGAAGUUCCCUGGUCUAUAGCCAAAGUCUGCGGAAUACCAAAUCGGUGUAUAAUAUGCUCCUUAAUAAACCCAAUCAACUCUCGAUGUAUCAUAUUCUUAAGGGGAAUCACUUGCGUCCACUUGGUGAAAUAAUCAGUAGCCAUAAUCACAAAACAAUGCCCCUUUGAUGAAGAAGGAUGAAUCUUGCCAACAAAAUCCAAUUAAAAUCCUCUAAAUAGCCAUGGUUUAACAAUUGAGUGCAUCGAUGAAGCACGCACCAACUACACAUCCCCAAACUUCUAACACUCUUCACAACCUUUGUAGUAACGAAAGCAAUCGGCUAUCAUAUUAGGCCAAUAAAAACAAGUCCGCUUAAGGAGCCACUUCAUCACACGAGUCGAUUGAUGUGUACCACAAACUCCUUCAUGCACCUCUGCCAUGGCUACUUUGUCCUGAUCAAAACCCAAGCAUUUUAAAAGUAAACCAUCAAUUGUCUGACGAUACAUCCCGCCAUCAACCAAAGUGAACUUGAGUGCCCAUCGUCGGACUUUUCUAUCAACUGAACACUUAGAAUCUUGUAAAUAAUCAAUUAGAGGUUUUCUCCAAUCAUCCACUUCAUUCUUAGCAAGCUUAGAACACUCCAUGGCUGAAGUGGGAACAUCAUCACACAGACCGGUCAGACCAGCCGUCUGGGCGGUCAGACUGGCUAGAUCGGUCAGACCGGUUUUGGAGGUCGAUUGGACCGGUUCCUCCAAGACAUAACCCUCGGCCUCGUAAAGCGUCGGUUUCUUUCAUGAAAAUUCCUUUUCUGAAAACUAUAACCAAAUGCUUGUUAUGCCAUAGCAUUAGCCCUUGGAUUCUCUUCCCUUGGUACAUGGUAAAUAGCAAACUCAUCCAUGCAAGAUAUAAUGUCUAGACAUUUAUCAAGAUGGGCAUUUAAAAACCUAUCAAAACAUUGUCACACCUUGGAUACCUGAUGUACCACCAGUAAAGAAUCUCCAUAUGCUUCAACAUGUUUCACCCCAUCUCUUGUAAAAUCUUCAAACCGAAUAACAAAGUCUCAUAUUCGGUUUGAUUAUUAGUACACUUGUGAUCCAAUCGGUUAAGAGCUUCAAAAACAACCCCGUUUAGUGAGAUAAGGACCACACCAAUACCGCAACCGCUCUUACAAACCGAUCCAUCAAAGUGCAAUUUCCAAGGGGUAAUAGUGAUAUAACCGACAUUUAAAUCAAGUUGCUUAUCAAUUCUAUGCUCAACAAUAAAAUCAGCUACAAUUUGACCUUUCAUUGAUUUCAAUGGUUCCAAAACUAGAUCAUACUCAAUGAGAGUAUAAGCCUAUUUGACGAUUCUACCACUCAAAAUAGGUUUUUGCAACAUGUAUUUGAUAAAAAAUAGUGCCUCAACUUGGUGCAAGCAUGAUAUAAUGAUAAGCACAACUUCUCAAUAAAAGUGUACCUUGUUUCGGCAUCCAAUAAUCUUCUACUCACAUAAGUAACAAUAUUCUCCUUCCCUUCAGUUUCUUGAGUCCAAACAGCCCCAAUGACACCUUCUUCGGCCACCACAUAUAAUUUAAAAGGAAUACAAUGUUUUGACGCCUGAAGCACAGGCGGUGAAGACAAAUAAUUUUUGAUUUCCUCAAAUGCUUCUUGCCGUUUUGCCCCCAAACAAAAUCAGCUUUGUUCUUUUAAAAGGAAUAAAAGCAUUCACCUUCCUGGACAAGUUGCAAAUAAAUCUUCUCAAAUAAUUCACAUUGCCCAAGAACAUAUGCAACUCUCUUUUGCAAGUAGGAGCUUGUAGUUUUCUAAUGGAUCCAGUCUUUAUAGAAUCAAUCUCAACACCUUUCUCAUGCACCACAAAGCCUAAGAAUUUCCCAACCGAUACACCAAAAGCACAUUUGAGUAGAUUCAUCUUUAAGCCAUAUUGAUGCAUUUUCUCAAAUGCAAGCCUUAAAUCAACCAAAUGGGAUUCUGGCCCAGCCGAUUUAACCAUAAUAUCAUCGAUAUAGACUUCCAGCACUACUCCAAGUAAAUCAUGAAAAAUCAAAUUCAUAGCCCUUUGAUAAGUAGCACCAGCAUUCUUCAAAUCAAAAGUCAUAACGACGCACUCAAAUAAACCAACAAAUCCUGGAGACAAAAAGGCCAUUUUGGAUAUAUCCUAUUCGGCCAUAAAUAUUUGAUUGUAUCCAGCAUUGCCAUCAAGAAAACUAAUCAUUCUAUGUCCAGAUGCAGCAUUAAUAAGCACAUUGGCUAUAGGCAUAGGAUACUCAUAUUUUGGAGAAGCUCUAUUAAAAUCUCUAAAAUCAAUGCAUACUUGGAGCUUACCCAUGCCUUUCUUCUCAAUAGGCACAAUAUUUGAAACCCAACCAGCAUAUCGACAAGGUCUAAUAAACUUAGCAUCAAGCAACCGAUUGAUCUCUUCUUUCACUCGGUCAUAUAUGAUAGGAUUAAAGCGCCUAGCAGGUUAUUUAUGAGGUCUAAAACUAGGUUUAAUGGGCAGCCAAUGCUCAACUAGCUCAUGGCUUAAACCAGACAUUUCAGUAUAAUUCCAUGCAAAACAAUCGACAUACUCUUUCAAUAAUUAUAGUAAAUUGACCUUAAAAGCAGGCUCAAGAUUUUUGUUUACAAACAUUAGCCUUGGUACAGUACCAUCACCAAUAUCUACCUCCUCUAAAGGAUCAGCCGAUGUAAAUCCUUAUCCUAAUUUACUCAUAUCAUCAAGGUCUUCAAUGGCCUCACACAUAUCGUUCUUAUGUGCUCGAUAGUAUUCUAGCCUCUACUGCAACCACUCUAGAUUUACAUACAUUAAAUCAUAUGGGAUGAGUUAGCCGAUCCUCAACCGGCUUUAUUAUAGUGGCGACAAAGCCAUCCUUUGUGCAACUAAUGAACUCAUAAUCAGAAAGGUCUAAACCAGAUAAGCACUUGACAUUAUCAUGCACACUUAGGGUCUACAAAAACACAAGACGAUGUAUCACCAUGCACAACCUCUACUUCAUCACCGACCCAUUGGAUUAAGAAUUGAUGCAAAGUAGAAGGGACACAUUGAUUCACAUGUAUCCAAUCACGACCCAAAAUUAAACUGAAGUUACCCUGGGUCUCAGCGACGAAGAAAGCGGUGGCCAAUGUCUUGCUCCCAAUGGUGAGCUCCAUAGAGACAACGCCUUUAGCUCCAUAGGCUCGCCUCCUCCCACACUGCUGACAAUCAUGUUAGUCUUGAUCAGCUCCUCAUCUGGACCAACCAAUUUCUUGAAAACAAAGAAUAGGGCAUUAAAUUGACAGUCGCUCCUCCGUCAACUAGCAUUCGAGAAAUUGGUCUCCCGUUGAUAUGACCCUUCAUGUAUAGCACCUUCAGAUGACUUUCAGUAGCUUUAGGCUUCUGGAAUAUAGCUUCCUUAGGCCCAAAGUCAAGGUGAGUCAAUUCUUCCUCCGAGAUGACAUAUCCAUCCAUUGACAUGUGUAUCACAUUAACGUCUAGGUUCAUGCACUCAGGCGAAGAACUGUAAUCAACAAGCUUCUCAUCAUCCUCUACUUCAGGGACUGACGCCAACUCAUUGCCACAAGCCAUAGGGAUAGAAGAAGUAAAAUCGGGCAGCGACUCUAGCUUGGCUGGUCUAACCACCUGUUCAACCGGUUUGACCGAUUCAGACGCUGACGCCUCAAUCGGUCUGACUGGUUCCUCGGCCGGUCGGACCAGUGGAGCUGGGGCGUCAGCCUUGACACACCCCUUUGUCUGAGGGACCAUGGGUCUAUAAUUUCUGAAUGCCUCGUCCCUAUGCUUCUCUAGCUCUUGUUCCCUCUUUUCUUGCAGCCUUAACCUCUGCAACUUCCUCCUUUGGGUGCAAGUCAACUCAAAAGGACACCACCUUGGCAAGAAGUACUUCGAUCUUGAGCCACUGCUACUAGCUUCAUGAUCAUUAGCAGCAGGAGCUCUCUGAACAGCCAUCACAACCAGAUUGCCUAGGUCAACCAGUCCCUUAGCAUUACUCUCAAUGGGGACAUCCAUAGACCCAAUCUAGAUAAUAGAUUUCUCUGUACCUUUCCCUGAGUCUAUUUUCAUCUUCUGAACUUCCUCCUCCUUCUUAGGAGGAUACACUUACUUUGGAGGAAGAGCUCUAGGUUCCUAGACAGGCUGGUCAGACUAGUUGGGGUAGACCGGUCUAACCGGUCGGGUCUGUGUACCCUGACCAGAUGAGCGGGGUGUCCAACGGCCUUGCACGGGUCAUGAAAUUCUAUCCAAAGCCGACUUUCUUGAUUCUCCCCAUCCAGGAUGGAAAGAUGGCUACUGCAUGAAUUGGUAAGGUACCCACAUUACCCCAUUGUCAUCCCACACCGAACAUGGAGGAUUUGAUGACAGAGAAGGCCAAGAUGUGGAGGGGCAUUGUUUUGAUUGACCUUGGUCACCUUUCUGUCUUGCAACCGCUCUUGGCGGUGAAUCUUGCCUCCCUUGAUGAGCAAGUGACCUCGUUCUCUUUUUUAAUGGCCGAUCACUUGUAAUGGCCUUUUGCUUGAAAUACUUAUCCAAAAGCAUAUCAAAUGUGACUUUUUCCCUAGGGCUACUCCCCUAAUCUUUUGCCACAUUAAGCUUCCAAGUCCCAAUCUCCGGACGCUUCGGUUUCAACACCCGGGGGUGUUCCUAGGGCUGAUCGGUCUGAUCAGUUCAGUCUGCCCAGUAGACUCGAACGGCUUUUGAUGAGAUGCCGCGGACAUUGCUUACCCCCCUCCCCCCGUGUCCAGAAGCUUUUUUUAUAGCAAUUUUAAAUGACUCUCUGCCAUCCGGAGUCUUUUCAUACACCACUUCCCUUGUCAACUCUUUUUCCCUCAAAUCAGACUUCUCUUUCCUGAUCACAACAUUCUUGCCUUUAGUAGCUUUAGCUUGGUGUGGUCAAACCAGUACCUUAGGCUGUUGUAUGUCCAUGGUAUUGACAGGAAAUGGUGUCUUGUCCACUUGCAGCUCAUGAAAUGUCAAAUGGCCUUCAUUUAUAUCCGAUUGAACCUAUCGACGAAACACAUUGCAAUCAUUAGUAGCAUGAGAAAAAGUAUUAUGGACCUUGCAAUAUGCUUUUCUCUUCAGCUCUUCAAGUGGAGGAAUAGUAUGAGAUAUUUUCAAAUGUCCAAGUUUAAGAAACUCAUCAAAAAUAUGAUCGCACUUGGAAACAUCAAAAGUAAAUUUCACUUCUUGUCGACUUCUAUAAGCCAGCUUAAGGGACGCACAAGAAUAUGAUUUAGCUUUAGAGGGCCAAACAAAUUCAGUAACAUAAACUUCAUUGUCAUCGUCGUUCAAACAAUCGGAAUCAUACUCAAUAGCAUGAAUGUUAGACCGAUGAGACUUGAAGCUAUCUUUUUCCUUAGCAAUCCUAAUUUCCAUUGUUGAUGCCCUCAUAAGUACUUGUGCAAUGGUAUGAAGCUCAAAACCUUCUAGCCGAUCCCUAAUAGAUGAUUUCAAACCCUUAAGAGCUAGAUCGGCCAAAUCAUUAUCAGAAAGUGACAAUUUAAAGCAUUGGUUUUUAGUUUCUUUGAACCAUUUUAUGUAAUAAAAAACGGAUUCCUCUUUGCCUUGCCUAACCGAUGUUAAAUCCGUCAACUUCAAUUGAAAACUCCUGGUGUAAAAGUGAUCAUGAAAUUUCUGCUCUAAUUGAUCCCAUGAAUCAAUAGAGCCGAGAGCCAAAGAAGAAUACCAAGCGAAAGCAGUUCUAGUUAAUGAUAAGGAAAACAAACUGACCCUUAAAGCAUUAUAAUAACCAGUUUCACCUAGUUGAGCCAGAUAUUGACUAAUGUGCUCCCAAGUAGUUCGGUUAUCUUCGCCACUGAAUUUAAUAAAAUUGGGCAUGCGCCAACUAACAGGAUAGGGGACAUAGUCAAAAUCAGCAUGAUAUGGUUUUUGAUAUAACUUCGAAUUGCCCACGUCUAUGCCAAAUUUACUUUGUAUCAUAGUCAACAUUUCCUCCUUAAAUUUUCUAAUCUCGCUAUAAGGAUUUGGCUCUUGUAGCGCUAGGGCUGAUGUUUUUGCAACAUUCGCGUGGGGUGGAUUGCUAUUCUGAAUGCAAUGUAAAUCAGAUAGUACGUCGUUUGAAAUACCCCUAGAAACAAUAGUGGUAUUAGGGAUCGGGGGUGACGUGUCUGCUAUUGUGCUAAUUGAGGAUGUAGUCACUCCAAGCUCACCAGUACGGUUAGGAACGACCGAACCAGGCACAACAACAAGCGGCACAGGCGAUUCAGGGACAAUUGCCAACUGGCCGGCCUGAGAGGCCAGACCGGUCAGACCGCCUACCUGGACUAGUGUGACUACUUCAGCCAUGUUUGGCUUCGGCGGUUGGACCCGGGGAGGAGUCUAUCCUUCAUAAAAGUUCAAUGGCAUGCCAUAUUUAGGGUUUUCAGGAGUAGCCCUUAGAUCUGCCGAUGGACUUAUAUGCACAACCCCACGCAAAUCAACUUGAGAAGAAUCAUUUUUAUUAGAUUCAACAGAUCUACCUUCUACAAGUUGGUUUAAGCAAUCUACCAAAGAAGUAGCAAUCUAAUUUUGAACUUUAAAAGCCCUUUUGAACUCUUCGUUGAUAGCAGAUUGAUCGAUGGGGAAGUCACUUACAUUGGAUACUUCCUCGAUCAUGUUGUUCUUCAUCUUAAUCGCGGAUAUCUCGAAGUCUUGUGCUCUUGUCACUUUGCCCUUGCGAUCUUUCUUGAAGCCCACUAGAUAUUGCAUCUUUACGUACUCUUGGAGCACCGCGAUGUUACGCUACUUCUGCUCGCUGAGAUCCUCCACAGAAGCCUCAAUGAUAAUGUUCUUGUCAAUCUCCAUAGUAGAUCCCAUCUUGCUAGGGUUUUCCGGAACGGUCGUAAAAAUCAGAUCUUUCUUCCUUAGUGGAGUCACCAAAAUAUGUUGGGGCCUUUUCUGGGCAACACACGAGUGCGCUAGCUCGCGCGUAGACCAGAAUUCUCCUCAUCAAAGCUCCUGCUCCUGGCCGGUCAGACCGGUCUGCACAGGGGCACUGCGAAAACCUACGAACACCACCCCGGGAGGGACUCCGUUAGGGAUGGUGCACCUAGGGUUGCUCUGAGAUCGGCAUGCCACUCAGAACGUCCUCAACCACCGUCAAGACGAAGGAGGAAAGCAAGGGGUUGGAAAAGCUAGGGUUUGGAGAUAAAAAAGAUAGAUAAAAGUGUUUGUCGAUUAAGUGAUAGCCCUCAAUCGGCCAGGGCCCUCUAUAUUUGUAGGGUGGGAGGUCUUUUCCCGCAAGGAAGUCCCGUUUCAACUUCAAUUCGACCAGGACUCCAAGAUUCGUCUCGGACUCGAGGUAACCGGUCUGACCGUUGAGACCACUGGUUAGACCGCCCAUAGAGACCGGUCUCGGUCUGACUAGCUGGUUUAGCCUGAUGGGCAUCGCUGCUACUUUUGAGCUCCAACAGCUAAAGUGCUGAGUUUACUGGGCUCACCGAUAGGGAAAAAACAAAGUUUACUGGGUGAAAUUGUGAUCUUCUUCUCUCGGGAUCAUAUAAUUCAAAGAGUUCUACACACCAAGUAAUGUAUAAGAAGCACAGCUAACUGGAAACAGUGAAAAUAAGGCCGCCUGACAUUUUGUCCAUCUAAUAUUGCUGCUAAUUAUUAACUGCCCGAUCUAUUCUCAAAAACUAGCUAAAAGCUAAUAUAUGUGAAAGUUUUAGCAUUUAUUACACGAAAAAUAGUAUUAUCCAACUCGUCAUACAUGGAAAAUACUUCGAAUGACUCUUUUUUACCACUAAUAAUGCUUAGAAAAAGCAACAAUCAAAGGUUUGCAUUGGAGACCAAUUUAAGGUAUCAAAAGACAUGUAAAAAAGCACGAAUACGGUGGUUCUCUUCCAUAAUUUCUACUGCAUCUUCUUCUUACUGCCUCUUGCCACCAGCAGUGGCUGCUGCUGCAUCCGGUCCAUGAACUGCUGCAGUGCUGCUGAACCAUCGGGUUGCCGGCCAGCCGCUGCAGCAUCCUGCAGCACCUCCAUCCCCGACGGGAUGCCCCGCAGCUGCUGAGGCGCCAUGCUCAUGAGCUGCUGCUGCGCCAUCGGGUUCCAGCCCGGAUGGUGUGUUCCUGCCACCGGCCAGCAUGCCUUGAGUGGCGCCGCCGCUGCCACCACCCUGCUGCAUGCUGCCGAUGUGAAGGUGGUCCAUGGGCAUGCUCGUGGGCCCGUCAGGCCGUCACCCGUUCUGCCUGUGUACCGACUGGCGAACCGGCCGAAUUUGGGCCGUACCAAGAAAAAGGAUGUGGGCUUUUUUGGUCAAGGCUGGUGGGGUGGCCGGAAAGUGGGUGGGGAAGAAGAGCUGUGGACCGGGCCAGAAAGAUGGUGCGGGUUUGAAAGGAAGCAUGCGGAGUGAGGAGAGUGUUUGAGAUUCGUGCAGCGCGUGUGUGCCGUACGAUCUCCGCACGCCGUCUCCGCGUGCUCCAUCGCUGUGGACGCGCGCCUCCACCCCCGCGCCCACUCCACCAUGGCUGCUGCCCCUCCCGCGGGGCCGGCCGUCCCGCGCGUGCCCCGCCGUUGCCGCACGCCCACCGUGGCUGCUACGUCGAACUUCAAACCGGCAUGACUUGCGCGCGGCGGCCGCGUUACCUCGACGCCUCAACCGUGUCUGUAGGACUCGUCGAGGCAUUCGGACGAGAGCUCGAUCGAGACCUUUGCCGACGCGGUACUGCAAGAAUCACGUAGUGCGGUGAUCGGUGAGCUGGACCGGCGCAGGAUGGAGAGCCUGAUGGUCCCUCUGCCAGCGCGGCGUCGGGGUCAUGGGCUCAUUGCCACCGCGUCGACCCGCAACAGACCGAGGUGGAAGGAAGGAAACGAGGUAUGGCACUGUAGUGGGCUCAGUGAGGAGAUUGAGCCCGGUCCGAGAAACAGGUAAGUACGGGCGGGCUUUGUUGGGCAGCAAACGACCUGGGCCAAAAUGAUCAAAACACAUUUAUUUGUUGCUAUCUGGGCUUUGCACCAGGCCCAAAUUCAAAGGAACUUGAUCUCUGCUCUUCUUCAUAAAUGACAAUGCGGCAGUGUUUCCUGCAAACUUUAACUUUUCAGAAUUUUUUUUAAAGGAUCACAUGAUCGAAACACACGCUGGCAAGUUUCUUGAGAAACACACAUGCGUCAUUCCAAUUGAAGUUAUAUUGAAUGGUCUAAAUUUUGUUUUUUAUAAGUUAUUGAACGCUGGCGGCUGGUCCGCUACUCCGUUGGUGUGUACCAUCCAUGUGGACGCACAUAACGCUCAGGGCUGGGCUGGGCUGGGGAGGUGCCCCUGACCCCACCCCGAUCCCCGAAUUAGAAUCCCCGCCCCGGGCCCGAACGGAGAGUAGGGGAAAAUAUUAGCCCCGGCCCCGUCGGGUUCCCGAAAUCUAGCGGCCCCCGUGGGGAAUUCAUGCGACAGAAAAAAAAAACACUCGUUCGCAUCAUCUCAAAGCACGCUUCUAAUUCAUGUCAUUACAAUUUUUUACAAGAGUGCGCGGGACAUUUACACGUAAGACAUCACAGUUUGUACAAGAGCAUUCUAAACUUGAACUCGGUUGCUUCAGGAUCUUGGCUAGUGCGUUGAUGCACCUUGUGCCGAUGUGCAACAAUCAAAGAAUAGAAAAAAAAAACAAGAAUCAGAUAAUCUGGUGCCGGCUGUUCACAUGGCCACAGAUUUGGAUAGAGGAGUAGCGCAGGACACUGGUCAAGACGCCGAGGACGGCAGGACGGACCGGUGUGGCGGCUUCCGACACCUUGGCUGGUGCCGCGUCCGCCAUCGAUGUCUGGACGGCAACAGCUUGCCUCCCGCGGCCUAGCCGAUGGGGAUCUCCAUCUCGCGACCUCGCCGGUACCUCCGCCACGCGGCGUAGCUGGCUCGCUGCGCAGCUGUGAAGCGGCGGCUGCCUGAGGGAGUGGGGAACGGGGAUAGAGGUUAGGGUUUUCAAGAAGGGUGGGGUAUAUAUAUGUCUUACUGGGUCAUUGGGCCG